CAGUCGCCGCGGGAAUACAGAGGGUGCGAGCGUUAAUCGGAUUUACUGGGCGUAAAGCGUGCGUAGGCGGCUUCUUAAGUCGGAUGUGAAAUCCCUGAGCUUAACUUAGGAAUUGCAUUCGAUACUUGGAAGCUAGAGUAUGGGAGAGGAUGGUAGAAUUCCAGGUGUAGCGGUGAAAUGCGUAGAGAUCUGGAGGAAUACCGAUGGCGAAGGCAGCCAUCUGGCCUAAUACUGACGCUGAGGUACGAAAGCAUGGGGAGCAAACAGGAUUAGAUACCCCAGUAGUCCCUGUCUCUUAUAC
rnacentral:rRNA from 1 species